rnacentral:rRNA from 1 species
UGGAAGCGUGGCGACACGUGCAGCUGACGAAUACUAAUCGAUCGAGGACUUAACCAA